rnacentral:rRNA from 1 species
GACGAACGCUGGCGGCGUGCCUAAUACAUGCAAGUCGAGCGAAGUUUUUCUGGUGCUUGCCCUAGAAAAACUUAGCGGCGCACGGGUGAGUAACACGUAAAGAACCUGCCUCAUAGACUGGGACAACUAUUGGAAACGAUAUCUAAUACCGGAUAACAGUAUUUCUCGCAUGAGAGAUAUUUAAAAGUUGGUUAUGCUAACACUAUGAGAUGGCUUUGCGGUGCAUUAGCUAGUUGGUGGGGUAAAGGCCCACCAAGGCGACGAUGCAUAGCCGACCUGAGAGGGUGAUCGGCCACACUGGGACUGAGACACGGACCAGACUCCUACGGGAGGCAGCAGUAGGGAAUCUUCCGCAAUGGGCGAAAGCCUGACGGAGCAACGCCGCGUGAGUGAAGAAGGAUUUCGGUUCGUAAAGCUCUGUUGUUAGGGAAGAAUGGAUAUGUAGUAACUAUACAUGUAAGAGACGGUACCUAAACAGAAAGCCACGGCUAACUACGUG